AUUGAACGCUGGCGGAAUGCUUUACACAUGCAAGUCGAACGGCAGCACGGGGGCAGCCCUGGUGGCGAGUGGCGAACGGGUGAGUAAUACAUCGGAACGUGCCCGGUCGUGGGGGAUAACGUAGCGAAAGUUACGCUAAUACCGCAUACGAUCUGAGGAUGAAAGCGGGGGACCUUCGGGCCUCGCGCGAUCGGAGCGGCCGAUGUCAGAUUAGGUAGUUGGUGGGGUAAAGGCCUACCAAGCCGACGAUCUGUAGCUGGUCUGAGAGGACGACCAGCCACACUGGGACUGAGAGACGGCCCAGACUCCUACGGGAGGCAGCAGUGGGGAAUUUUGGACAAUGGGCGCAAGCCUGAUCCAGCCAUUCCGCGUGCAGGACGAAGGCCUUCGGGUUGUAAACUGCUUUUGUACGGAACGAAAAGGCUCUGGCUAAUACCUGGGGCUCAUGACGGUACCGUAAGAAUAAGCACCGGCUAACUACGUG
rnacentral:rRNA from 1 species